UUUCAGGAAUAUUUCUGAAGACCUUGGUCAUCAUGAGCGAUGAUAUUAAUAUUCAAAGACAAAGGAACUAAAAGACAAUUUAUAUGCAGAUCAAACGUAUCAACAGAAUGUGAAAAAAUGAACCAUAAGGUUAAAAAAGCAACAAAAGGGAUGUAAUAUUCAGGUGCUUCCUGUCUGAGGAGUUUCAGAAGCUGAAAUAUACAGUUGUAUCAGCAUCAUUAACUGACUAAUACAAAUUUACCAACAAAUUUACAGACUUCCAGAUGGACAGCUUCAGAUGUAAGGCAGCAAACUAUGUCUGAAAGCCACAUACAGUUGCAAAAGAGGAUCACAUGAUCCUGGGACAUUGCAAUUGUCAUAAAUAUGAACCUGUUG